rnacentral:rRNA from 1 species
CGAUUCUGGCUCAGGAUGAACGCUAGCGACAGGCUAACACAUGCAAGUCGAGGGGCAUCACGGGAGUAGCAAUACAACUGGUGGCGACCGGCGCACGGGUGAGUAACGCGUAUGCAACCUACCUAUCAGAGGGGAAUAACCCGGCGAAAGUCGGACUAAUACCGCAUAAAACAGGGGCACCGCAUGGUGAUAUUUGUUAAAGAAAUUCGCUGAUAGAUGGGCAUGCGUUCCAUUAGGUAGUUGGUGAGGUAACGGCUCACCAAGCCGACGAUGGAUAGGGGAACUGAGAGGUUGGUCCCCCACACUGGUACUGAGACACGGACCAGACUCCUACGGGAGGCAGCAGUGAGGAAUAUUGGUCAAUGGGCGGGAGCCUGAACCAGCCAAGUCCGCGUGAAGGAAGAAGGAUCUAUGGUUCGUAAACUUCUUUUGCAGGGGAAUAAAGUGCGGUACGUGUACCGUUUUGUAUGUGCCCUUCGAAUAAGGAUCGGCUAACUCCGUGCCAGCCGCCGC